CCUUACUAUCACCAGAAAGUAAUAGUAACUUCAGAACUGUUAACAGUGUGAAGUGCAAUAAUAAUUCAGUAAAGUGCAUUACUCACACACCUAAGGAGCAUGCUCCUAGCGCCUAACAAGAACGAAACAUGAACAACAUAUGAGGGACAGGAAAACAAACGAAUAACAUACGAACUAUGAAAGAAUAACAAACGAUACUAAGGAUGAAUAAAGAAUACAGAGAACGCAAAGAGGAACCAAAUAACAAGAACUGCAAUAGUAACAUACGAUAUAGCAAAAGGAAGACGAGCAGAGAAGGUAAACAUUUCUUCCGAGCACUCCAGUAUCCAUUAGCAAGAUGACACCCCAAUAAAAGAACCCUGUGAGGAACAUCAAGGAAUGUCCCAGGAGACUCCUGUGUGCAGGAAACAUAUCAGAGGUCCAACAAAGAAUCAUCAGAGCAGCUUCAGACUUACUUUGAAAGGAGCCUGGCAAUUCAAGAGGUGUUAAUAGUGGAGUAGAGAAAAAGGAUGGAACUUUUGGAAAAAUUGGUUGAGACCCUAAGUAAAAGUUUAAGAUUUGAUGGAGACUUUCCCAUGAGCUUAGAUCUUCUUCUCUUUUGAUUUUAGUACUAAAUUAAAACAACAACUUUCACAUAAAUAGAUGUCAUUAUCUUUCUUUAUUGUGACAGUGAAAAACAAAAACUCCUGAUUUACACGAUAAUUGUGUUCACAUGUACACACUGAUGCAUAAUUGUUUCUGCCAUGGGGCUGGUAAAAAGCAAAUGAGAAAUAAUUACAUGAUCAACUUUAGUGAUGAAAUGAGCAAUUAUAACUGGAAACAUGGUGCAUCAAAGCUUAACACAAAAACCACAAUCUAGACCAUUUGAAAGGAA